GCCUGGGUAGCUCAGUUGGUUGAGCUUCCGACUUCGGCUCAGGUCAUGAUCUCACGGUUUGUGGAUUCGAGCCCCACAUCAGGCU
rnacentral:tRNA from 1 species